UCAAUAAAGCAACUCUGAUUAAUAUAUUGAUGUAUGUCUAAGCUUCUGAAACAAAAAAAAAUCAGUUAUUUUAGUACAGUCAGAAUAAGUCGUCUUGAAAUAAUCCCAUUUACAUUCAAAUAAUUGUAGAACUGAUCAUAUCGCCAGUCCCACGAUCAGCAAGGACGAUUACUACGAUGCCUUUCCGUGCUCAACAGAGCAAACCGAUCAUCGUCGCUGCCGUCGAGGGAUUCGUCUUUCCGCUGCAAUCAGAAGAGGAAGUGGAUCGUUUGGAGUACACCGCUCGAAGAGAUCAGCUCAUUCGUGAUCAAUAUGUAGCGUUGUUGCAGGAAGUGAAACCUCACCAUCAGGAUCCAUCUAAUGUUUUUGCAGACCUGUUUUCCGACGAGGCACUUCUGGGAUACAACUAUUACGGGAAAACGAACCGAGCGAAGAAGAAGAAAGCAAUGCGGAAGUAUAUCAUAUUUACCGAUUGUAUGGUUGAUGCAUGGCUUUCGCAUGGGGUUACGGAAGCAAGUUUAAGAAUAUCUAUCGUUAAGGUCAUUGCCCGACUUAACCACAAAGUACGUAGCAGAGGAUAUCGAAGAAACCCUUCAAGCGUUACAACGCAGGAUGGUGCUGAAGUCGGGGAAGAGCUUUAUUGAUAGAAGUGUGAAAAUUUUCCAGCUAUGCUAAGAAGUAAUGAUUUGUUAUGGUGCAGGAAGUUCGCAUGGUUAAGAUCAUUCCGUAAAGAACACUGCAGUACUAGAUUGCAACAUCUUGGAAUCGAUAAACGACUCUUGAAUCACUCUGUUCAUUAAGUUUUAAUUCGCAUUCUACAUAUAUUAGGGAAAACGCCUGCAUUUACUCAACUAUGCUAAUAUUUCUUUUACAAAAUCGUCGACAAUAUUGAACGCCUGGAAAACACCGUCCAUGGAAAAUCAGACAUCUUCAAAAAUAAUUGAAAUUAUUCCCAAAUUUUAGUACUGCGAUGUGAACUUGGAAUAUUUGCAAUGCAAACGGUGACUGCCAACGUUAGAAUAAAUAUAAUUUUAUUAUUAUAAUAAAACAGUAAACAUUGGACUAAGAUUUUUUUUAUAUAUCUACAGAGAUUAUCAGUUGAGCCUCUAAUACCUAAUUGUAUAAACUUUUUCACUUCCCACAGCGUACAAGUGUCGUACAUCUAAACCGAAGAAGCAAACUGAGCAAUGGUUCACUGUGGAUGCGUUCCAGUACGUAGAGAAUCGCAAGGGUAAUCUCAAUCUUUUCUACCAAGGAUACGAGUAUUUACGGAGACGUGUUGCCGACCAAGCAACCAUGUGGGAAUGUAACAAGAAGAGAACCUGCGGGGCACGAGCCGUAACCCGAAACGGCAAUCAAAUCAAGCUUAACAAGUUUCAACACAAUCAUCCGCAUUCGCGGCUGGCACGUGGUCCGGUUAUUGAACCCGCCGUUAAUCCGGUGCCGAUCAUGUACAAGGACGAGCCUCUGGAUUUGAAUGCUCUUGACGAGGCGAUUUCGUAGAGUGCUUAGUAACAAUUAUAUCUGUCAAAGCAUGCUGUAUUAUUAUAAUCUAGUACUUUUUAAAUUUGGGCUAACAACAAUAGUUAACAACAAACAAAUAAAUCAAACAUUCCGUCUGAAAUCUAGUACUUCAUUUCAACCAGUACACCAACCUUUGAGAACGUCACUAAUCAAUUUCCUGAUUUCCAUUCCAGAUUUCUACGUUCGGUACGUGACCGGUUUCAGGGGCAGUCGCAAAUUGAAGGUGGGCGAGUUCAGCUUUACCAAAAACAAGGAGUGUGCAAACAAAACGUACUGGUCCUGCGCCAGGGCCGGCAUGGACAAAUGCAAAGCGCGGGUGCUGACCUAUACGCUGAAAAAUGGCGAAGAGAAUCUGGUGGUACGCUAUCCCACGCAUAAUCACGGGCCGUUCUAGUACUGCACUGUAUGAUAACACUAGCCAAUGGAAGCAAGCAUUUAGAUUAUGGAAUCAAACUGAUUUUGCACAACAUAUUUGCUUGAAGGAUUCCUGUGGCUGGUAGAACGAUGAUUUCCAUUCUCGAUCAUGAACUAUUAUAUCCAAUCAAUGAUCUUUUUAGCGGAGUAUGAAAACUGGUAUAAUUAACCACACAUUAAGUUGAAAAAAAUAGAAAAUUCGAUAAAUGCAUUAAGUAAAUAACUAUCUUGUUACUAUUAUUGUUAAAAUAUUAUUAAGUUGACUCGCAUGAACAUUGUAAUCAUGAACUAGUACUGCAUGCUUAACACUUCAUUGACAAAAGGUGUUAUUUCAUGAUUCAUGGAUCACGUGUGUAUGGAACUAUGUACUACAUAGUCGUGUGUGAUAAUCUAGUACUUCAUCAUAUGCUUUUUCGCUUCCAUCCCGUUACAGCCUCGCUGAGUACGAGUUUCAUGCAGCAAUUUCAAUUCCAAACACUUCUCUCGUCGCCUCAGUUUAGUUUUAAAACAUCCCAACGGAGCGGUCGCCAUCUGCUGGUGGUAAAUGGGGUAACAUUCUUCCGGAAUCGCCAUCGUAACAACAAGCAGUACUGGAAGUGCAACCAGUACUACAAGUGCAAGUGCCCGUGCAUUGUCGUGAUUGAUGAGAUCAACUCGCGCAUGAACGUGAAGCAUGCGCACAACCACGACACGUCGUCGAGUGCCACCGGUGGUGUUGCUAGUAGGAGAAAUAGGCUUCUUCCGCCGAUGUUAGAUCCAAGUACCUCAGCCUUGGCGGGAUCAUUUCUUAACGAUAGUCUACUGGUUGGAAGUAGUAGCGCACUAGCUGCCGCUGCUUCAUUUGCCCAAACUGUGCAAUUAAGAGGGUUUAUGAAUAAAAGAUAAUGAACUAUGAUUAUUGCGGAAUAAGAAUUUUUCGUUACAGUGUUUCCAAUCCAGUACUACAUUUCAUAUCUUCGCCUCAAACAAUUCCAGUAAUAUUCCCCUAUCUUCCAACAGUUCUCAACAGAAGACGCUCCAAAGUCUACGCAAACAACCUGGAACAGGUGUCGGACAUGG